UACGUAGGGUGCGAGCGUUUGUCCGGAAUUAUUGGGCGUAAAGAGCUUGUAGGUGGCUCGUUGCGUCGGGAGUGAAAACCUGCGGCUUAACCGCAGGCCUGCUUCCGAUACGGGCGAGCUAGAGUUCGGCAGGGGAGACUGGAAUUCCUGGUGUAGCGGUGGAAUGCGCAGAGUAUCAGGAGGAACACCGGUGGCGAAGGCGGGUCUCGUGGGCCGAUACUGACACUGAGAAGCGAAAGCGUGGGGAGCGAACAGG
rnacentral:rRNA from 1 species